rnacentral:rRNA from 1 species
GACGAACGCUGGCGGCGUGCCUAAUACAUGCAAGUAGAACGCACAGUUUAUACCGUAGCUUGCUACACCAUAGACUGUGAGGUGCGAACGGGUGAGUAACGCGUAGGUAACCUGCCUGGUAGCGGGGGAUAACUAUUGGAAACGAUAGCUAAUACCGCAUAAUAUUAAUUAUUGCAUGAUAAUUAAUUGAAAGGUGCAAUUGCACCACUACCAGAGGGACCUGCGUUGUAUUAGCUAGUAGGUGAGGUAACGGCCCACCUAGGCGACGUUAGAUAGCCGACCUCCGAGGGUGCUCGGCCACGCUGGGACUGGGACACGGCCCAGCACACUGCGAGUGGCACCCGUAGCGGAUCUUUGGCGAAGGAAGCAAGUCUGACCGAGGGACGCCGCGUGAGUGCAGGAGGUAUUCAGGUCGUGAGGCUCUGUUAUGCGAUAGGGUUGUAUAUGAGAGUUAAAAGUUCACACUGUGACGGUAUCUUGACAGAAAGCGACGGCUAACUACGUG